GGCAGAGCCCUGAGAGCCUGGUGUGGCCCCAGGGAACGAGAAGGAGCCCCUGGAGAAGCUGUACCAGGUGGGGCUGCUGCUGCUGGAGCCACCAAGGACGAGCUCAAGGACAACAACCUCUUCCUGGAGCUGGCCAGCGGCAGCUGAAGAUGAUGGCCUUUGAUUCUGGCACCUUCUCCAAAGACACGCUCCACGGCCAGUGUGCAGCCGGGCUCUGCCGAUGCUGAGGCUGCUCCGGGCUCUGCCAGGGCUCUGCUGGGGCUCAGCCCCGGGCACGGCUGGGCCCGCUCUCCCCUCACAGGGCUCUGACAGCUUUGCAUCAGACGAGCCCCUUGCGAGCACAGCGAUGGAGCUUUCUGCUUUUGCAGCUUCCCCUCUCCGUGUGCCAGAAGGAAUUGGAUGAACUGUAUUCUUCUCUCGAGUCGUCUCGUUUGGCAUGAGCAGCUCAGCACCAGGAGCUGAAGGAGCUGAAGCCUUAGGCCACAAGAGCUGAGCAAGAGGAGACUUUUGGGCAAAGUAAUGCUGCUAACAUGGACCUGGCUGAAUCCUGGAAUUACAGAAUCCUUCCUGUUGGAAAAGACCUCUGAGCUCAUCAAGUCCUACCAUUAACCCAGCACUGUCAAGCCCAGCACUAAACCACAUCCCUGAAGUGCCAAGGCCUGAACAAGAGGCCCUGAGCCAAAGGUGACCUCUGGAUGAACCUUCCAACCAAAGAUUAUCUUUGUAUCUGCUCCUUAACGAAAUUUGCAUGAUCAUUAGCACUGUGAUAGAUGUAUCCUCUCAUUAGUGAAACAUGUAUUGACCUUUCUGUGUUUAGAAGCUGGACAAGGCCUGAAAUCUGACAUCUGACCUUGUUUGGGGCUGUAUGGUCAAAGUCAGCUCCCCUGGCUCCUCCUUGAGCCCUGGCCAGGCUUAGGAGGAAGCCAAGAGGAGGAUGAAAGCAGAUGUUCCCGCACUGGAAGUGCUGUCAGUUUGUUUCUCCAGCACUGUCAAAGCUGGGCCCUCUCCCAGCGGGGUUGGAGCCUCAGCUGUGGCUGGAGGCAGCUGCAGGAAUUCCCAGUGUCCGGGAGUGGCUCUCCAGUCCUUGGCUGGGACAGCUUCCCCCAGCUGAUGGGUGGCUCUGGGUGACGGUAAAGUCUGGGGGGAACUGGGGCUGGAUCUUGGUUAAUCACUGCAGGCAAUCUUUGGCAGGGAUGAUUGGGGGCAUUGCUGAGCUGCUCCUUCUGUGAUUCUUUGUGAAUGAUUUUGUGUUUUGCUGAG